rnacentral:rRNA from 1 species
UACGGAGGGGCUAGCGUUGUUCGGAAUUACUGGGCGUAAAGCGCGCGUAGGCGGACCUGCAAGUCGGGGUGAAAGCCCGAGGCUCAACCUCGGAACUGCCUUCGAAUACUGCGGGUCUCGAGUCCGGGAGAGGUGAGUGGAAUUCCUAGUGUAGAGGUGAAAUUCGUAGAUAUUAGGAAGAACACCAGUGGCGAAGGCGGCUCACUGGCCCGGUACUGACGCUGAGGCGCGAAAGCGUGGGAGCAAACAGG